GGGAAAUAACUACACGCCAGCUCUACCAAGGUCACUGCCACCACCACCACCACCCGCUGCACAGCCACGUUUCCGCCAGCCCACGUCGGGCCCUUGCCACCACUGCCAGAAGUGGGGACAUUAUAAAAGGGAAUGCCCCCAGCUGCGGGACCGUUCCACCUGGAUCCGACCCGGUCCACCACCACCACCGAGAGCCGCCGCAGCCCAUCACUACCAG